GAUGAACGCUGGCGGCGUGCCUAAUACAUGCAAGUCGAGCGAACAGACGAGGAGCUUGCUCCUCUGACGUUAGCGGCGGACGGGUGAGUAACACGUGGAUAACCUACCUAUAAGACUGGGAUAACUUCGGGAAACCGGAGCUAAUACCGGAUAAUAUAUUGAACCUCAUGGUUCAAUAGUGAAAGACGGUUUUGCUGUCACUUAUAGAUGGAUCCGCGCCGCAUUAGCUAGUUGGUAAGGUAACGGCUUACCAAGGCAACGAUGCGUAGCCGACCUGAGAGGGUGAUCGGCCACACUGGAACUGAGACACGGUCCAGACUCCUACGGGAGGAAGCAGUAGGGAAUCUUCCGCAAUGGGCGAAAGCCUGACGGAGCAACGCCGCGUGAGUGAUGAAGGUCUUCGGAUCGUAAAACUCUGUUAUUAGGGAAGAACAAAUGUGUAAGUAACUAUGCACGUCUUGACGGUACCUAAUCAGAAAGCCACGGCUAACUACGUG
rnacentral:rRNA from 1 species